rnacentral:tRNA from 1 species
GCCGGGGUAGGAUAGUGGUUAUUCUUCGGGACUGUGGAUCCCGUGACUCGGGUUCGAUUCUCGGCCCCGGCC